AACUCUUCGUCUCUCAUCUUUGUUUCUGGAAGUGUCGUAUCUUCGUGUUGCUGUCCUCAUCAAUCGCUUUGUCGAAAAAAGUCGAUUUACUGAAGCAUGAUUGAAGAUAGAUCGAUUAAUAACUCCAUCCGAAUUUGGCUUCCAGGUUUGGAUAAGCAAGACCAUAAACCGGAUAGAUAGAUCCUGUCUCUUGUUUACUCAUGAAAUAGAAACAUCGUAGAAGCUCUGUUUUGAAUCCAGCUUGGGAUUGUUAUUGUUCAGGAGUCGCUGGAUCUGAGAAAUUUAUUCAGGUCAAGUAGACAGUGAUGGGUUUCUUCCCGACAAAGCUUUGGAGUUGAAUGAUGAAGCUGGAUAUCGGGUUAUGGUACGUCAUGCGGUGGUUUGUGUUGUGAAUGUUUCUUGCAU